CUUUACAUCCGUGUAUGGUCUUUUAGCAUGGCGGUAGCGGCAGGAGUGAGGACAGCUGUGCAGAUGUCAUUCAAGAAGCAUUUUGAUCCUGGCUGACACUAAAGCUGGUGUCUGCUGGUGUGACCAGACAUCAAAGAAUGCUACUAGAGGUAUGGGAGCCCUUGUUUCUGAAGAGGCCGGAGGGCAUCGCGUGACUGGCAAGGACAGCUGUGCAGAUGUCAUUCAAGAAGCAUUUUGAUCCUGGCUGACACUAAAGCUGGUGUCUGCUGGUGUGACCAGACAUCAAAGAAUGCUACUAGAGGUAUGGGAGCCCUUGUUUCUGAAGAGGCCAGAGGGCAUCGCGUGACUGGCAAGGACAGCUGUGCAGAUGUCAUUCAAGAAGCACUUUGAUCCUGGCUGACACUAAAGCUGGUGUCUGCUGGUGUGACCAGACAUCAAAGAAUGCUACUAGAGGUAUGGGAGCCCUUGUUUCUGAAGAGGCCGGAGGGCAUCGAGUGACUGGCAAGGUUUGAUUUGGUUCUGUACUCGAUGCCAUAUCCCUUUCAAGUCUUUGCUGCAUGUGAAGGAAAACGUAUGGCGCUGAUCAGAUGGAGCGCUCCAGCUUGACUGAAUGUUUACUGAUCAUGAAGUUGGAUCUUUGACUUGAUUCCUCUAAUAGAUUAUCAAACCACAAAGAUUUGUGCAGAAUGCAACCAGUCACAAUGUAACUUGUACAUAGAAUUGAAUAAACAUUUCUUAACUA